UCUGGAUUAAUAACUGAUACUCUAGUAGUUUGACCAAGUGUAGACGGUAUUAGACAUGGGGAGUAUGUGACACAGUUAUCCAUAAUAUGACACAAUGUGAAUAAGACUUGAUACACAAAUCAAAGGUGUAGGCUACACGUUCUGCCAUUUGUAGCAUUUAAAAGCCCAAUCCUGAUGGUAGAUUAUUGCAAUGACUAUAUAGAUUUACAAUAUAUUAAUGGGGUUUAUCUGAAGGCUAGAAGUGUUUUCGUGACAUCAUUUUGCAGAGCCAACUAACAAGGGGUUUCGACUUGUAUUUGACUAUGUGAAACCUCUUGCAAUCAGUUUCACUGCCCCCUCCCCUCCAGUGAAUCCCUG